GAUGAACGCUGGCGGCGUGCCUAAUACAUGCAAGUCGAGCGAAUGGAUUAAGAGCUUGCUCUUAUGAAGUUAGCGGCGGACGGGUGAGUAAUACGUGGUAACCUGCCCAUAAGACUGGGAUAACUCCGGGAAACCGGGGCUAAUACCGGAUAACAUUUUGAACCGCAUGGUUCGAAAUUGAAAGGCGGCUUCGGCUGUCACUUAUGGAUGGACCCGCGUCGCAUUAGCUAGUUGGUGAGGUAACGGCUCACCAAGGCAACGAUGCGUAGCCGACCUGAGAGGGUGAUCGGCCACACUGGGACUGAGACACAGCCCAGACUCCUACGGGAGGCAGCAGUAGGGAAUCUUCCGCAAUGGACGAAAGUCUGACGGAGCAACGCCGCGUGAGUGAUGAAGGCUUUCGGGUCGUAAAACUCUGUUGUUAGGGAAGAACAAGUGCUAGUUGAAUAAGUUGGCACCUUGACGGUACCUAACCAGAAAGCCACGGCUAACUACGUGCCAGCCGCCGCGGUAA
rnacentral:rRNA from 1 species